GACGGAAGGUGCAAGCGUUGCUCGGAAUCACUGGGCGUAAAGGGUGCGUAGGCGGCCGUGCAAGUCUGGCGUGAAAGCCCCGGGCUCAGCCCGGGAAGUGCGCUCGAAACUGCGCGGCUCGAGUGCCGGAGGGGAGAGUGGAAUUCCUGGUGUAGCGGUGAAAUGCGUAGAUAUCAGGAGGAACACCGGUGGCGAAAGCGGCUCACUGGACCGUAACUGACGCUGAGGUGCGAAAGCUAGGGGAGCAAACGGG
rnacentral:rRNA from 1 species